UACAGAGGGGGCAAGCGUUGUUCGGAAUUACUGGGCGUAAAGGGCGCGUAGGCGGCCUGCUAAGUCGAACGUGAAAUCCCUGGGCUCAACCCAGGAACUGCGUCCGAUACUGGUUGGCUUGAAUCCGGGAGAGGGAUGUGGAAUUCCAGGUGUAGCGGUGAAAUGCGUAGAUAUCUGGAGGAACACCGGUGGCGAAGGCGGCAUCCUGGACCGGCAUUGACGCUGAGGCACGAAGGCCAGGGGAGCAAACGGG
rnacentral:rRNA from 1 species